UACGUAGGGGGCAAGCGUUGUCCGGAUUUAUUGGGCGUAAAGCGCGUGUAGGCGGCUCAGUAAGUCCGCUCUGAAAGCCCGGGGCUUAACCUCGGAACUGCCUUCGAUACUGCGGGUCUCGAGUCCGGGAGAGGUGAGUGGAAUUCCUAGUGUAGAGGUGAAAUUCGUAGAUAUUCGCAAGAACACCAGUGGCGAAGGCGGCUCACUGGCCCGGUACUGACGCUGAGGCACGGAAAGCGUGGGGAGCAAACAGG
rnacentral:rRNA from 1 species